CGCCGCCUCAACCCGGAGCCCCCAAACGUGCGUCCUCCCCGAACGCCCGCCCGAGACCGGAAGCGGAAGCGCGGGCGGCGCCGUGGAUGGAGCGGGCGGUCUGCGCGGUGUGUCUGGUCUUCUCGGCUUGGACGUCCGGCCGAAUGGGAGGGGCGCGCCAAGAAAAGCAUCCAUGGAGCUCAAGUUUGAGGUGAAACCAGGCUCAGGGUCCACCUGUCCUCGCUGAUCCGUGGAUUUCUGUGUGACCAGCUUUGGGGCACAACCUGAAGACCCUCACAGUCACCUUCCCCAUCUCCGCCCUCCAGUAUUCAUCAGACAUGAGCAACGGCUCA